rnacentral:rRNA from 1 species
AGCAGCCGCGGUAAUUCCAGCUCCAAUAGCGUAUAUUAAAGUUGUUGCAGUUAAAAAGCUCGUAGUUGAAUUUCGGGGUCAGUAGGUUGGUCGUGCCACUGGUAUGUACUGGCCUCACUGAUUCCUCCUUCUUGUAGAACCGUAAUGCCAUUAAUUUGGUGUUGCGGGGAAACAGGACUGUUACUUUGAAAAAAAUUAGAGUGUUUAAAGCAGGCUAACGCUUGAAUACAUUAGCAUGGAAUAAUGAAAUAGGACGUUCGAUCCUAUUUUGUUGGUUUCUAGGAUUGACGUAAUGAUUAAUAGGGAUAGUUGGGGGCAUUAGUAUUCAAUUGUCAGAGGUGAAAUUCUUGGAUUUAUUGAAGACUAACUACUGCGAAAGCAUUUGCCAAGGAUGUUUUCAUUAAUCAAGAACGAAAGUUAGGGGAUCGAAGACGAUCAGAUACCGUCGUAGUCUUAACCAUAAACUAUGCCGACUAGGGAUCGGAUGAUGUUAAUUUUUAAUGACUCAUUCGGCGCCUUA